rnacentral:rRNA from 1 species
ACCAAAUAGAUACCCGGGUAGUCCACGCCCUAAACGAUGCGAACUGGAUGUUGGGUACAUUACGGUACUCAGUGUCGAAAGCUAAACGCGUUAAGUUCGCCGCCUGGGGAGUACGGUCGCAAGACUGAAACUCAAAGGAAUUGACGGGGGUCCCGCACAAGCGGUGGAGUAUGUGGUUUAAUUCGAUGCAACGCGAAGAACCUUACCUGGCCUUGACAUCUGUCGAAUCCUGCAGAGAUGCGGGUAGUGCCGCAAGGAACGACAAGACAGGUGCUGCAUGGCUGUCGUCAGCUCGUGUCGUGAGAUGUUGGG